AAAUUGAAGAGUUUGAUCAUGGCUCAGAUUGAACGCUGGCGGCAGGCCUAACACAUGCAAGUCGAGCGGUAGCACAGAGAGCUUGCUCUCGGGUGACGAGCGGCGGACGGGUGAGUAAUGUCUGGGAAACUGCCUGAUGGAGGGGGAUAACUACUGGAAACGGUAGCUAAUACCGCAUAAUGUCGCAAGACCAAAGUGGGGGACCUUCGGGCCUCAUGCCAUCAGAUGUGCCCAGAUGGGAUUAGCUAGUAGGUGGGGUAACGGCUCACCUAGGCGACGAUCCCUAGCUGGUCUGAGAGGAUGACCAGCCACACUGGAACUGAGACACGGUCCAGACUCCUACGGGAGGCAGCAGUGGGGAAUAUUGCACAAUGGGCGCAAGCCUGAUGCAGCCAUGCCGCGUGUGUGAAGAAGGCCUUCGGGUUGUAAAGCACUUUCAGCGGGGAGGAAGGCGAUAAGGUUAAUAACCUCAUCGAUUGACGUUACCCGCAGAAGAAGCACCGGCUAACUCCGUGCCAGCAGCCGCGGUAAUACGGAGGGUGCAAGCGUUAAUCGGAAUUACUGGGCGUAAAGCGCACGCAGGCGGUCUGUCAAGUCGGAUGUGAAAUCCCCGGGCUCAACCUGGGAACUGCAUUCGAAACUGGCAGGCUAGAGUCUUGUAGAGGGGGGUAGAAUUCCAGGUGUAGCGGUGAAAUGCGUAGAGAUCUGGAGGAAUACCGGUGGCGAAGGCGGCCCCCUGGACAAAGACUGACGCUCAGGUGCGAAAGCGUGGGGAGCAAACAGGAUUAGAUACCCUGGUAGUCCACGCCGUAAACGAUGUCGAUUUGGAGGUUGUGCCCUUGAGGCGUGGCUUCCGGAGCUAACGCGUUAAAUCGACCGCACGGGAGUACGGCCGCAAGGUUAAAACUCAAAUGAAUUGACGGGGGCCCGCACAAGCGGUGGAGCAUGUGGUUUAAUUCGAUGCAACGCGAAGAACCUUACCUGGUCUUGACAUCCACAGAACUUAGCAGAGAUGCUUUGGUGCCUUCGGGAACUGUGAGACAGGUGCUGCAUGGCUGUCGUCAGCUCGUGUUGUGAAAUGUUGGGUUAAGUCCCGCAACGAGCGCAACCCUUAUCCUUUGUUGCCAGCGGUUCGGCCGGGAACUCAAAGGAGACUGCCAGUGAUAAACUGGAGGAAGGUGGGGAUGACGUCAAGUCAUCAUGGCCCUUACGACCGUGGCUACACACGUGCUACAAUGGCAUAUACAAAGAGAAGCGACCUCGCGAGAGCAAGCGGACCUCAUAAAGUAUGUCGUAGUCCGGAUUGGAGUCUGCAACUCGACUCCAUGAAGUCGGAAUCGCUAGUAAUCGUAGAUCAGAAUGCUACGGUGAAUACGUUCCCGGGCCUUGUACACACCGCCCGUCACACCAUGGGAGUGGGUUGCAAAAGAAGUAGGUAGCUUAACCUUCGGGAGGGCGCUUACCACUUUGUGAUUCAUGACUGGGGUGAAGUCGUAACAAGGUAACCGUAGGGGAACCUGCGGUUGGAUCACCUCCUUACCUUAAAGAA
rnacentral:rRNA from 1 species